UGGUGGAGUGAUUUGUCUGGUUAAUUCCGAUAACGAACGAGACCUUAACCUGCUAAAUAGAUUAUCGGGUUCUUACCCGAGCGAUCUUCUUAGAGGGACUGUGUGGUAAAACCUCAAGGAAGUUUAAGGCAAUAACA
rnacentral:rRNA from 1 species